CGAGCACGCGCGUGUGGCAUAUCAAUAAGCGGAGGAAAAGAAACUAACAAGGAUUCCCUCAGUAACGGCGAGUGAAGCGGGAAGAGCUCAAAUUUGAAAUCUUCAAGGUUUUACCUUGACGAAUUGUAGUUUAUAGAAGUGUUUUCUGUUAGUGGUUUGGUAAAAGUUCUUUGGAAUAGGACAUCAUAGAGGGUGAGAAUCCCGUAUUUGGUCAUUCCUCCUAGCGUUGUGAUACACUUUCAACGAGUCGGAUUGUUUGGGAAUGCAGUCCAAAAUGGGUGGUAAAUUUCAUCUAAAGCUAAAUAUUGGCGAGAGACCGAUAGCGAACAAGUACCGUGAGGGAAAGAUGAAAAGAACUUUGAAAAGAGAGUUAAACAGUACGUGAAAUUGUCAAAAGGGAAGCGUUUGACACCAGUGUUGUUUUUCCGAAAAUCAAUUACGAAUGUUUUAUUUUUGAGGAGUUAUGACUUCAUCGGCUUGCUUCUCUCUUUACGAAACUUUCUUAAUGCACUUUUCGGUUAACAAGUCAACAUCAAUUUCUUUUGUUGUAAAAGGGUAUGAGGAAGGUGGCUUUCUUUUCGGAGAAAGUGUUUAUAGCCUUGUGACCUCUGCAAUCGGAGAGAUUGAGGUCUGCAGCGUAGAUCCUUCGGGGUUAGAUACAGUUUGUGCUAAGUUAUAGCUUUUCAUAGACAACUUGUUGACUAUGUUUAGUCUUGUAGCUUACUCGCUUAUGCUAUUUUACCUACGCUUAGGAUGUUGAUGUGAUACUGCGAGCA
rnacentral:rRNA from 1 species